AAAAUGUAUCGGCAAACCCGUCGAAAGGCGGGGACGCAAAGCCACGGGUCUAAUGUUUCAUCACGAUGAUAGCCGGGUUGCCUUU
rnacentral:ncRNA from 1 species